rnacentral:lncRNA from 1 species
GGACUCGGGGGUUGGGGGUGGACUUCUUCUGAAGCUGGGAGGGGUGCGGGUGGGCAGGGCUUAGGGAGCCUGAGGGAGGCGCGGUUCCUGGGGGAAGGGUGUGGCGAGGCGGCGGCAGCCCGCGUGGCGCUGUGGCGCCCCAGCGAAGGGGCAGUGCUGGCCACUCGUGUGGCCCUUUGGCUGCUGGCACCCAGUGAGAGGGGGGAGGCCAGGGACAGGUGGCAGCCAGGCUGCCCACAGGCCCUGGGCGGUGGGGGGCCCGGCCCUGUGCCUUGGGCAGCCUGGCCCCUUGCUGAGGCGUGCUUGCGCGUGUCCGUUGUCGCCCUCACCCAGCUGCUGCGGCGGAGAGACGGAGGCCAGCGCGGGGAGCGGAAGCCGGAGCCUGUCGGGAGCGACCCCGGGAGGCCAGUCCCUCCUGCCGGGGGAGGCGUGUUGGCGUGCGGCCGGUGGCGGGAUCGAUGGCCACCUGGUAGGCGAUGCUGCUGCGGCGGAGAGACGGAGGCCAGCGCGGGGAGCGGAAGCCGGAGCCUGUCGGGAGCGACCCCGGGAAGGCCAGUCCCUCCUGCCGGUGGGAGGCGUGUUGGCGUGCGGCCGGUGGCGGAUCGAUGGCCACCUGGUAGGCGAUGGUAAGCGGCAGUGGCCUGCGCCAAGGUAGCCCCCGGGGGCGGUGUGUGGCGCCCGGACCCGCACCCUCUGCUCCCGGGGGUGGAGCUGACCUGCUUGCCCGCGGUUGGGCUCGGGAGCCUGCGGGCCGCGGCCAGGAGGGAGCUGGCUGGCCGUCCCGGCGGUGGGGGCUGUGGCGGUGGCCGUCCCGCGGGUGUGCCCGUGCUCGGAUCGAUGAUGACACCCACAAACGCAUUCCUUGGAAAAUCUGAACAAAAUGAGUGAGAACUCACUACCGUCUCCUCAUCGCAAACUGAGGUCCGGCACGUGGCUCCCACAGGGGCCGUCGGGGGAGGGUCCCGUUGCCUUGGCUCCCUUGGGUGCGUGCAGCCCUGGGGCGCAGGUGGGGCAGGCA